GCUGCUGACAGCUCCUUGAUGCCCAAGAUCCCAGCCUGGGGACGCUUUUGGCCCUCACUAGAGCACCGAGGAAAUGUCAGCACGGCUGGCCGGCUCUGACAGGCGUCUCGGGGACAGGGGCAACUCGGGCAGCGUGGCGUUUCCCCUGUGCUAUACCCUGCACUCUGGGUCUGGCUCUGAACAAGGUCCUGACUCCUGUACACAGGUCCUGCUGGACAUGAUGGUGGAAUCUGCCUCAGAGACAAUCAGAUCGGCUCCGUCUGGGCAGAAUGGCAUGGGCAGCCUCUCUGGGCAGGCAGAUGGCGGUGGCGGGACUGGGGCUGCAGGCACUGCUGCAGGCGGCCCGGGCAGGGACAGCACCAGCGGUAGGGAUGCAGUGGCCGGCGUGGACAGCAAUGGUGAGAUGAGCCCUGCGGAGCUUCUACACUUCCAGCAGCAACAGGUAGGCCCGGCAUCCUCCCACCUCAGCCCACUGCUCCAGCCAGUCAGUGCUGAGCCCCCUCCCUGAGCCUUCAGGCCCCCAAGGCCUCCUUCCCUCUGUGCCUCCCAUUAGGUGGCCCUGAGCCUGAGGCAGUGAGAGAGAGAUCAGCAGGCCUGGGGGCCCUGAGCUUGUACCAGGCCCAGGAGUGUUUGAAGGACAGGCAGUCGCCUCUACCCUGGUGCAGGCUGGGAAAGCAUAAAUUAACAGGGCCAAGGGUACAUGUGCCCUGGGGAAUCUUCACUUUGUCUCAGAAAACUUUCCCGCCCCCAGGUCAGCAUGGGUCCCUGGAGGUUACACUUCCUGAUUAAGUCUCCCAGCGAGGAGGCAAAGGCCCAGAGGCGAAGAUGGGCCUGGUUCAGACUCUGCUCCUAGAAGUCACUGCUGCUUGUGCUAACCCUUGGAGGCUCUGCUGGGACCCUGGAAAAGGGCCCUGCCUGUCCCUCUCCACACACUACCCGCCCCUGCCUCAGGUGUCCCCCCCUCACAGUGUCUCAUGCUCCCCCCCAAGUGCCAGCGUGCCGCAGAGUCCCAGCUACUCAUGAGGCCAAGGCGGGAGGAUUGCCCAGAGUUUCAGGGACAGCGUGGGCAACACAGUAAGACCCUAUCGCCAAAACAAAACAAAAAGCCAGGAUUUGGCUGGCUCCCG
rnacentral:lncRNA from 1 species